AAGGCAGGGACCAUGGUAUGUUGUUUAUCUUUGGAUUCUCAGUGAUUGUCAUAUUUAUGUUUGUUGAAUGAAUCUUAAUCCAAGACUUGGGCUCCAGGUCAUCUCCUUUCAUCCCCACCCCAAGGCGCUGGCUGUGACUCUGCUUCCUGCACUGACCCAGAGCCUCUGCCUGUGCAUGGCCAGCUGCGUCUACUCAGGCCCCAAGGGGUUUCUGUUUCUAUUCUCUCCUCAGACUGCUCAAGAGAAGCACAUGAAAACCAUUACCUGACUUUAGAGCUUUUUUACAUAAUUAAACAUGAUCCUGAGUUA
ensembl:lncRNA novel transcript